AAUAUUGGACAAUGGGGGGAACCCUGAUCCAGCCAUGCCGCGUGUGUGAAGAAGGUCUUCGGAUUGUAAAGCACUUUACGUUGGGAGGAAGAGUUGUAGGCUAAUACCUUGCAAUUUUGACGUUACCAACAGAAUAAGCAACGGCUAACUUCGUUCUAGCAGCCGCGGUAAUUCGAAGGGUGCAAUCUUUAAACGGAAUUACUGGGCGUAAAGCGCGCGUACGUUGUUCGUGUAGUUGGAAGUGAAAGCCCCGGGCAUACCCUGGGAAUUGCUUUCAAAACUGACGAGCUAGAGUACGGUAGGGGGUAGUGGAAUUUCCUGUGUAGCGGUGAAAUGCGUAGAUAUAGGAAGGAACAUCAGUGGCGAAGGCGACUACCUGGACUGAUACUGACACUGAGGUGCGAAAGCGUGGGGAGCAAACA
rnacentral:rRNA from 1 species